rnacentral:rRNA from 1 species
AUUGAACGCUGGCGGCAGGCCUAACACAUGCAAGUCGAACGAAUGGCGGACGGGUGAGUAAUGUCUGGGAAACUUCCUGAUGGAGGGGGAUAACUACUGGAAACGGUAGCUAAUACCGCAUACCAUCAGAUGUGCCCCGAUGGGAGUAGCUUGUUGUUGGGGUAACGGCUCACCAAGGCGACGAUGCCUAACAGGUCUGAGAGGUUGAUCAGCGACACUGGAACUGCGAACCGGUCCAGACUCCUACGGGAGGCAGCAGUUGGGAAUAUUGCACAAUGGGCGCAAGCCUGAUGCAGCCAUGCCGCGUGUGUGAAGAAGGCCUUCGGGUUGUAAAGUACUUUCAGUGGGGAGGCGUUACGCGCAGAAGAAGCACCGGCUAACUCCGUGCCAGCAGCCGCGGUAAUAC